rnacentral:rRNA from 1 species
CAUUAUCGUACAACGGAGGUGCAAGGGCUGUCGCUGACCUUCAAAGGUUGUGCACGCCCAGGUGCUCUCUCACAUCCAUCUCACCCCUUUGUGCAUCACCGCGUGGGCCCCUCUUUGCAGAGAGGGUCUGCGUUUUCACAUAAAACUUUCUACAGUGUAGAAUGUCUUUUUGCGGUCACACGCAAUCAAUACAACUUUCAACAACGGAUCUCUUGGCUCUCGCAUCGAUGAAGAACGCAGCGAAAUGCGAUACGUAAUGUGAAUUGCAGAAUUCAGUGAAUCAUCGAAUCUUUGAACGCACCUUGCGCCCCUUGGCAUUCCGAGGGGCACACCCGUUUGAGUGUCGUGAAAUUCUCAAAACCUUUUCUUUGACCUUUUGGUUGAGAAGAGGAUUUUGGACUUGGAGGUUUGAUGCUCGCUUUUGAGUCUCAAAAGCGAGCUCCUCUCAAACGAAUUAGUGGGGUCUGCUUUGCUGGUCCUUGACGUGAUAAGAUGUUUCGACGUUUUGGACUUGGCACUGUCUCUUGGAUGCCUGCUUCUAACCGUCCGUCUCAUGGACAAAUGAUGGUGCUCUGGUCUCCUCCAUCCACAUUGGCGGGGGGGAGGCUGGACCCACAAAGAAAACCUUGACCUCAAAUCGGGUGAGACUACCCGCUGAACUUAAGCAUAUCAAUAAGCGGAGGAAAAGAAACUAACAAGGAUUCCCCUAGUAACUGCGAGUGAAGCGGGAAAAGCUCAAAUUUAAAAUCUGGUGGUCUUUGGCCAUCC